rnacentral:rRNA from 1 species
UACGUAGGCAGCAAGCGUUGUUCGGAGUUACUGGGCGUAAAGGGUGCGUAGGCGGCUUUUUAAGUUUGGUGUGAAAUCUCCCGGCCCAACUGGGAGGGUGCGCCGAAUACUGAGAAGCUAGAGUGUGGGAGAGGAAAGUGGAAUUCCUGGUGUAGCGGUGAAAUGCGUAGAUAUCAGGAGGAACACCGGUGGUGUAAACGGCUUUGUGGACCACAACUGACGCUGAGGCACGAAAGCGUGGGUAGCAAA